UUACGGCCAUGUCACGUCGAAACACCUUUUCCUGUACAACCACUGAAGUUAAGCAACUUUGAUCCUGGUCAGUACCUAUAUGGGUUACUGCUUAGGAAUACCAGGAGCUGCAA